UAAAUAUAAAAGAGUACGUAUGGCUAAUGUUCCUAAGCUGAAUGGCCAUGUAGGCCUAGACGCUUUGGAAUGAGCCGUGAUAGCCGAGCUGUGUGUAAGUGGGUUGGUUUAAAAAUUUGAUUUUCCUUUUGUUUGUGUGGUUAACUCUCUCUUUUCAUUCAUUUUCCUCAUUUUCACACGCAAUCUCAAUAUCUCUCUUCAUACUUUCAUACAUGUUUUCAUUUUCUCUGCAGCUGUUCUUUUGCCACCAAAAUCACUAUCUUUUAAUCGUAUCUUCUCUUGCACUAUUGGUACGUUGAUA
rnacentral:lncRNA from 1 species